UAAGGUAGCGAAAUUCCUUGUCGGGUAAGUUCCGACCUGCACGAAUGGCGUAACGACUUCUCUGCUGUCUCAACCACAGGCCCGGUGAAAUUGCACUACGAGUAAAGAUGCUCGUUACGCGCGGCAGGACGAAAAGACCCCGGGACCUUCACUAUAGCUUGGUAUUGGCAUUCGGUGCGGUUUGUGUAGGAUAGGUGGGAGACGUUGAAGCACAGUCGCUAGAUUGUGUGGAGUCACCCUUGAAAUACCACCCUGGUAUGUUUGGAGUUCUAACCUCGUUCCCUUAUCGGGAAUAGGGACAGUGUAUGGUGGGUAGUUUGACUGGGGCGGUCUCCUCCCAAAUUGUAACGGAGGAGCACGAAGGUACACUAAGUAUGGUCGGACAUCAUACGGUUAGUGCAAUGGCAAAAGUGUGCUUGAC
rnacentral:rRNA from 1 species